rnacentral:lncRNA from 1 species
CAAGUUCAGUACUGUUGACGGUCAAUUUAGGACAUCUCCUUACAUCUAACUCUUCCAAUGCCGGCCAAGUUGAAUAAUAAUUUUCUGAACAGAAGCUGAUGAGUUCGGGGAGAUCUUUAAAUCUUAAUUUUCUCAACGAAGGGAGCGCAAGUAUUGCAUUUCCAUCUCCUACACUUAUUUCCCUCUCAUUAUGAUCAAAUUUUGCUUCAACGAUACAUUCCAAUCUCUCGCAGUAACUCACUUUCAGACUUUUAAGCUGCACCAAACUUCGAGCUUGUGACAACGUGAAGAUAUAUGUCAAAUUGUUGCACCGUGACACUUUUAAUUCUGUAAGAGAUUGGAGGCUGAUCACAUGUUGGCCGGGCGCCUUCCAUAUCCACUUCAGUUCUGGUAAUCCCCUCAUAUAUAACUCUACUAAUCUUGAGAGCAUCACAGGAUUCCCACUCUUUCCAUGCGGCGACUUAGAGGCAUCCAUUAUGCAUUCUAAAUCUUUACAAUCGGUGACAUGAAGAAUAGUCAACUCAUUUAAGCCCCGUUCAUCUAUGCUUGGCACAAUAUUAUGACAACCUGUUACCCCACUUAAAUAAAGAAUUUCCAGAUUUUGAUACAGUGCUGAAAAAAUUCCUAGCGUCGCUUUAGGAUGGUUAUUCUCAAUGAUUAAGCACCUUGUCCCUCUAUCAAAAGCGUCUAAGCACCUUGUCCAUCUAUCAAUGUCAUAUAAAGCGCCAACUUCCAUGAUGCCAUACCUUUGUAAUUUCGGAAAUGAAAAGUCAUUUGGAAGACAUACAACGGAUCCGUCGGGUUGGGAGUCCGACUCAGCACACCUAGCGUAACUUUCUUCUGAACUCAUCCCUUCAACCUCCCAAUUUUUUAUCCAACCAUAAAAUUCUUCUAAUUGAGGAAAUUUAUUUAUCGUAAUGGGAGAAAUGGAGCCAGACCAAGUACCAAUAUACAGAAGUUUCAAUCUACUAAGUUCAUCCCCCAAUCCAUCUGGAAUUUCAAUGGGAGACUUCUCGAGAUAAAGUAUUUGAAGUCUCUUCAACUUUCCAAGGAAAGACGCGUCACUCACAUCACAUCGAAUCAACCGCAGAACUCGAAGGUUAUUGGCGAGGAAUUGAAGUGAUUUAACUGAAAGGACUCCACCUAUUAUAGUAACAACUUUCAGUGCUGACAUCUCUUUAAAAAAAUAUUCUGGAACUUGCAAUUUGUUGCCAUCUAGAGUAUU